AAAUGUUUAUUAAAUUUAAUAAUAUUCAAUUUUUUUCUUAGGAGAGAAUCGGGCAGUCCUCAGUUUAUUCAAUGACAUGGAGGGUGUUGCGAUGGAGAAAGCAUUCCAAAAAAACAAUUCCUCUACACCUGGAGAUGAAGCCUGUCAA